UCCUACGGGAGGCAGCAGUAGGGAAUCUUGCACAAUGGGCGAAAGCCUGAUGCAGNGNGCCGNGUGAGGGGAAGNCNUUCGGGUUGUAAACCUCUGUCCUCGGGGAAGAGAAAGGACGGUACCCCAGGAGGAAGCCCCGGCUAAUUACGUGCCAGCANCCGCGGUAAGACGUAGGGGGCGAGCGUUGUCNGGAAUCACUGGGCGUAAAGGGUGCGUAGGCGGCUUCUUAAGUCCUGUGUGAAAUGCCCCGGCUCAACCGGGGAGGGCCAUGGGAAACUGGGGAGCUCGAGUGCCGGAGAGGGCCGUGGAAUUCCAGGUGUAGCGGUGGAAUGCGUAGAUAUGGAGGAACACCAGUGGCGAAGGCGGCGGCCUGGACGGUUACUGACGCUGAGGCACGNCAGCUGGGGGAGCAAACAGGAUUAGAUACCCUGGUAGUCCCAGCCGUAAACGAUGAGUGCUAGGUGUNGNGGCUCGNCCCCUUCAGUGCCGUAGCAAACGCANAGCACNCCNCNG
rnacentral:rRNA from 1 species